rnacentral:lncRNA from 1 species
CUAGGCUACUUUGGCGAAUGAAGGUCUUACUCAUGGUGCUUGCUACUGACUGAAAGAAUUCCCCACGCAAAGACACUUCGCCGGGAGAAUUCCAAUUUUAUUGCAAAAAGCUGUGUGCUUAUAUAGAACUAAGGGGGAGAUGGUAGGGCUUAGAUAAAUGGCAGGCCACCCGUUUAUUGGCAAGUUCUUUCAGAUAUCAGCUCCGGAGCCCAGGAAUUAGUUCUCAUUGGGGCUAAGGUUCCCCGCCAGCGAGAUUUGAAAUUGGCGCCGCCGGGAGAGUUCACACGGGCAGGAACUUUUCGCACCACUGCAGAAAAGAAGAAGGUAGGAAGAAGAGGUGCUUAGGCGCCAUGUUGGGGUUUUUCUCUGGGGUAUGGCUGCCGUUUAUACUUUUCCCAACACUGACCACCUGGAAAUUGCCCCUUAUCAUCUGGGAAAGGUCAUAAAAUAAUUUCAGA